AUAUAAAUAAAAUUGACUUUUUUGAUUCAUUCAAUUAAUGAUGUAUGUGGUUCAUAUUAUAAACCACAUACAUCAUUAAUUGAAUGAACCUAAAAAGUCAAUUUUGCUUAUAU
rfam:Medicago truncatula strain A17 chromosome 3, whole genome shotgun sequence.